AUCAGGUUCCUUCUUCAUGGGAAUCUAGUGAUGCAAUGGCAAACAAAAUCCUUGGCAGUGUAUGCAACCUGUUUAUGUCUGGGUUCCCCCUUAAAGACCUUCAAAAUAGUU
rnacentral:snoRNA from 1 species